AGAGUUUGAUCCUGGCUCGGAGUGAAUGCUGGCGGUAUGCUUAACACAUGCAAGUCGAGCGAGAACGGAUUAUUUUUUCGGAAAUAAUUGUCAGCUAAGCGGCGGACGGGUGAGUAAUGUAUAGUUAAUUUGCCCCUUGGAAAGGGAUAACAGUUGGAAACGACUGCUAAUACCUUAUAUUCCUUUUUAAUUAAUUUAAAAAGGGAAAUGCUUUUGUGCCAAGGGAUAGGACUAUAUCCUAUCAGCUUGUUGGUGAGGUAAAAGCUCACCAAGGCUAUGACGGGUAGCUGGUUUGAGAGGAUGAUCAGCCACACUGGAACUGAGACACGGUCCAGACUCCUACGGGAGGCAGCAGUGGGGAAUAUUGGGCAAUGGGCGAAAGCCUAACCCAGCAAUACCGCGUGGAGGAUGACGGUUUUCGGAUUGUAAACUCCUUUUAACUGAGAAGAUAAUGACGGUAUCAGUUGAAUAAGCACCGGCUAACUCCGUGCCAGCAGCCGCGGUAAUACGGAGGGUGCAAGCAUUACUCGGAAUCACUGGGCGUAAAGAGCGCGUAGGCGGUUUAUUAAGUCUUGUGUGAAAUCUUACGGCUUAACCGUAAAAUUGCAUGAGAAACUGAUAAACUAGAGUGUGGGAGAGGCAGAUGGAAUUCUCGGUGUAGGGGUAAAAUCCGUAGAUAUCGAGAGGAAUACCCAUUGCGAAGGCGAUCUGCUGGAACAUAACUGACGCUGAUGCGCGAAAGCGUGGGGAGCAAA
rnacentral:rRNA from 1 species